GGGCCCAUAGCUCAACUGGCAGAGCGCCGGACUCAUAAUCCGUUGGCUGCAGGAUCGUACCCUGCUGGGCCCA
rnacentral:tRNA from 1 species